rnacentral:rRNA from 1 species
AAUCAACGCUGGCGGCGUGCCUCAGACAUGCAAGUCGAACGCGAAAGCUCCCUUCGGGGAGCAAGUAGAGUGGCGCACGGGUGAGUAACACGUAGGUAAUCUACCUUUGGAUGGGGAAUAACAACCGGAAACGGUUGCUAAUACCGCAUAAUGCAGCGGCACCUAAUGGUGACAGUUGUUAAAGCGGGGGAUCGCAAGACCUCGCGUCUGAAGAGGAGCCUGCGGCGGAUUAGCUAGUUGGUAGGGUAACGGCUUACCAAGGCGAUGAUCCGUAGCCGGCCUGAGAGGGCGGUCGGCCACACUGACACUGACAUACGGGUCAGACUCCUACGGGAGGCAGCAGUCGGGAAUUUUGGGCAAUGGGCGAAAGCCUGACCCAGCAACGCCGCGUGGAGGAUGAAAUCCCUCGGGAUGUAAACUUCGCAAGAACGGGAAGAAUAAGUAAGAGUUAAUAUCUCUUACGAUGACGGUACUGUUUGUAAGCUCCGGCUAACUCCGUGCCAGCAGCCG